rnacentral:rRNA from 1 species
UACGGGGGAGCAAGCGUUGUUCGGAUUUACUGGGCGUAAAGGGCGCGUAGGCGGCCAGCGCAAGUCAGUUGUGAAAUCUCCGGGCUUAACUCGGAAAGGUCAACUGAUACUGCGCGGCUAGAGUGCAGAAGGGGCAACUGGAAUUCUCGGUGUAGCGGUGAAAUGCGUAGAUAUCGAGAGGAACACCUGCGGCGAAGGCGGGUUGCUGGGCUGACACUGACGCUGAUGCGCGAAAGCCAGGGGAGCGAACGGG